GCAAAACCACAGAAACAGCAAAACCCAGCCCUUCUGGAUUCUACUAAAAGAAAAAAAAGAAAAAAGAAAAAAGAGAAAAUUUUUGAGUAAGGUUGUAAUAAACGUUAUGCAGAUUACAUCCAUGCAAUUAAAGUUGAACCCAUCCUGGUGUACGAUAUUAAGGAUUCUGUUCUGAAAAAUGAGCUUUUCUCUAUUUAUUCCUUGAAGUGAACAAUCACCCAGUGAAAACAAAAGCUCCUGCUGAAGACAACAGAAGAUAGAGGAUGGAGUAACCUAUCUGGAAAGAAGAAGAACUGCAGAAGCCUUUGACACUCACUGUUUUCAAGAUCUGGGAAAGCUUUCCUCCUGCAAGGAGCAGAAACAUUCACUGGCUUGUUUCAGUCAGUGUGAAAGCCAGGAGCAGAAUGGAGACAACCUGGUUCCCACCUCUGAGACAGAAUAUAUUUCUCUGCAUUUUUAACUGUCCUUACCUUGGCUGCUUUGGAUUCUCUGAAUUUCUGAGUUGAAAAGCGAUGCACAGGACACAGACUGAGUAGCUCCAUGGAAAUCAGUAGACAUCACUGAUCCCCUGAGGAGCUCAGUUUGACUGAUGUUGAGAGCUUAUUUCACCAGUAGGCUGAGAUGAUUCAGAAAUCUAUUAACCAAACAGUCUGGAACAGCCAGUCAUAAAGUACUGAAGACCAAAUUCACCAACAUUAUAUUUGAGGAUGGAACUCAGACCAGUUUGGACUCACAAUUGGAUGCGUAAGGCCACAUUCUUGUAUUCAGGAACGCUUCUGUAACAGAAAGGGCUGGAGAUGCUCUUUCUCUCUCUUGUACUGCAUUGAAGAGCCUAUAAAGGUCAGGAAGCAAUAGAAAAUACAGGUGUGCAUCCUGCUGAGUGGACAAGAGCAUGAAGUAAGCCUUUCCCUGCUUCCAGGAUGAGUGUUCGAACUGUAUCCCCAGCAGAAAUUGCUCAUCUAGAUGUCAUAAGAUAAGAUAGAUGGAAUGAUUUUCAGCAUUGCUCAUGUACCUUGGGCAUGGAAGGUGGGCUUCAAGGUAAAAGUAUAUCUGCUCAGUAUCUUCUCAUCUGCAAGGCUGACAUGUGCCACUUGGAGGACAAAAGUGACUUCAGGAAGGACUGACAGCUAAACACUAAUUUUCAAAAAUCAAAGCCUUAAGCCUGCAUGCCAUAUUCUUAUGCUGACAAGUCACUGACAGAGUAUCAAGAAAUGGAGGCCACAAGAAACCUACCAAAUUCCCUGCAGAAGAUACCUGGGACAUAAUCGGAAUGAGGGGCUAUCACCAAAAGGUUGACAUUCCAAAGUGUUGAGCUCUACGGAUUUCCACAUCUGACUAUGGAAGCUGGAGACCUGUGAGAACCAGAUUUACAUUUACUUGUCUAAGAGCAGUCAUUUUCACACCUCUGGUGAAAUAUGGUUUCAGUGAAAUCAAGGACAAGUGUCACUUUUGGCUCAAUGGGACCAGGAUUCUUCAGCAAGAGAAAAAGUCUUUUGGACCCCAGGAGAUGAUAUACCCUGGAGCUGCUGGUCAUGCAGACUGUGAAAACUUUGUUUUGUGCUCUGAGAGGACCCACUGUUGUGACUUAAAUUGAAGAGGUGGGAAUAAACUUCUCAAGGAGGCACCCGGAUCAUCACUCACAUUUCAGCACAUGUAGGAAGAAGUGGAGGAAACAGUUACCAGAGAUAUCUGAGUAAUGGUGUUAAUCACACAGACUAAAGAGGUUGAAAGAAAGAUUCAGCACAUCCAGAACUGCAAAGUGAGCUGCAGCAGGGAACAUCAGCAAGGACCAUAUAUUUCAAACAGAAGCUGCCCUCUUUACUGUUUUUUUUUUAAAUAAAAGAUAUAUGGUUGAUCCAAAUGUGAAUGAUAUAUAUAGCAGAUGAACCCAGCAGUGUUUGUCGCUGAGUAUGUGAGGAAAGUGCUACCUUGGGAAAAUUGAACUAAACAAGAAAGUUAAAGAUUAAUAAUUAUUUUCCAUUUUGUGUUGUUUCCUUUCUUACUUUCAAGUUUGCUUGUAUUUUAAAGAUAGUGGAAUUUGAAAACUGCAACAGCCUCUAAAAACCGUUCUUGUUUGGGGGAAAAAAAGAGGAGAAAAGAUCUUUUCCAUCUGUCCAAGCAGGCCUAAAGACAUAAAUGUCUU
rnacentral:lncRNA from 1 species